GAUGAACGCUGGCGGCGUGCCUAAUACAUGCAAGUCGAGCGAACAGAUAAGAAGCUUGCUUCUCUGAUGUUAGCGGCGGACGGGUGAGUAACACGUGGGUAACCUACCUAUAAGACUGGGAUAACUCCGGGAAACCGGGGCUAAUACCGGAUAAUAUUUUGAACCGCAUGGUUCAAUAGUGAAAGAAGGUUUCGGCUGUCACUUAUAUAGGGACCCGCGCCGUAUUAGCUAGUUGGUAAGGUAACGGCUUACCAAGGCGACGAUACGUAGCCGACCUGAGAGGGUGAUCGGCCACACUGGAACUGAGACACGGUCCAGACUCCUACGGGAGGCAGCAGUAGGGAAUCUUCCGCAAUGGGCGAAAGCCUGACGGAGCAACGCCGCGUGAGUGAUGAAGGUCUUCGGAUCGUAAAACUCUGUUGUUAGGGAAGAACAAAUUUGUUAGUAACUGAACAAGUCUUGACGGUACCUAACCAGAAAGCCACGGCUAACUACGUGCCAGCCGCCGCCGUAA
rnacentral:rRNA from 1 species